rnacentral:lncRNA from 1 species
CGAAGCUCAAAGUUCGGUCGCGCCUGUCGCUUUGCCGUCACAAAGUCAUUUUCAUUUCGAGCAUUCGAGCUUCCCUCGCGUAGGGAGAUCGGGAAUUCGUUUGCAGGUGCUCGAUUCGAGUUUUUCGCAGAAUGGAAGUUCCUUUCGCGUUUAGCUUCAGACUAUUAACAACAGGUGCAUCCGGAUGAUGGCAUUCUCAUAGUCAGAUAGUGUAUCAGUCCCAAAGCUCUGUCAAGAUCCUCAUCUAUUCUUUGUGGCCAUUGGUGCUGGAUAAUUUGUUUUUCGUGCACGUAUUGAUAUUUUGAUUACACACGGUAAAACCUCAUCACCCUAUCGAGAAACAGUUUUAGCAGCACUACCAAAUCUUCGGUCGAUGAAAUUUGUUUCGAUCGCUCUCACCUCAGUUUCGACAUGAAGUUCACUGCCUUACUAUUCGUUUGCAUGAUAUACCACCUGAGUUACUUUACAACUGUUAACGGGCUCAUAGAUGAAGUUGAGGAUGUGUUCUCCAUAUCCAAAGAUAUUGCAUCCACUGUAUUCAAAGCAUGGGAUACCGUGUCCGAGCAUUUACCUGUUGAUCAAAGUGAAAUCACACCACCAUUCCUCAGGAAGAAGGGAGCGAAAUUAACUUCAAAGAUGAAGCUCAUCACCCAUAUGUUGGAAAAUGUUGACCGAAGAAUCAAUUCAGUUACCAUCAGUGCUGUUUCAAGCUUGCGAAAUGAUUUUCAGUCUAUCGCUCACUAUGAACUGCGAGUAGGUGAAGUUCACCGGUUGACAGGAAUCAUUGAAGAUGCCUAUGCUCGGUUUGUGGCAUAUUUGCCGGAUGGAACUGAUAGUGGCGACAGUUUAUCAGCAAUAAAAGAUCAGCUGGACCUGGUGAACGAGGAGACGCCAGGAACCAACAUCCGUCUUCGACACAAGCACAUUUCUCUGGACCCCGGCAAUAUCACUGAAGCCACUUACAACGCAGAAGGUGUCGAAGGCAACACGCCCAUCAGAGUAGUCUCCGAUUUUUCGGAAGAGUCUGAGAAAAACCUACCCGGGCUCAUGCCCGCAAACUCAGUGAUAGUUUCGAGCCAUACACAUUAG